AUUGGACGCGACAAAGGCCAAGGAAAAUAGGGAUAAAAAGGGCCAGGAAAAGGCAGGCAGUGUAAUCCGCAAACCCAAGCAAGAGUUAUCUGCCUUAGGAUUAUCAGAUGAUAUCUUAGCAUCAGAAUUUUUGCAUGAACGAGCAUCUGGUUGUGUGUCUGAGUCCACAGCCACUAGUUCCAUGCCUGAAGAGCAGUCUGAGAUAACAUCUUUUGGGCAUGAAGAAGACAAUUCUGCAGCCUCUGUUAUAACUUUAGGUGACACUACAGGCACUGUAAAUGAGACAGAGACCUCUAAAGAGUCUUCUACCGAAUCUGUUCCUUCUUUAUUGCCUGAUCAAGAAAAAGGUGACUCCGAAAAUAUGUCAGAAGAUGUGGAGAUCGGUGAUUUCUUCUUAGAACAUUCUCCAAUUAAUGAUGCUGUUGAUUCUGAAGUACUAAAAUUGCAGAAGAACGAAAAGAUGAAAGAACUAUACAAUGAGAAAAAUUUGUAGAAAUUGGAUGGAAUCUGGAAGAAGGGAGAACCAAAAAGGAUUCCCAAGGCUGUUCUUCAUCAAUUAUGUCAAAGAUCAGGGUGGGAGGCGCCAAAAUUUGAUAAAAUACCUGCCAAAGGUAAAAGUUUUGCUUAUUCUGUUAGUGUGUUACGUAAAGCUAGCGGGAGGGGCAAGAGCAGAAAAGCAGGGGGGCUAAUCACCCUUCAGCUUCCUAAUGAGCAAGAAGUUUUUGUAUCUGCUGAGGUACUUGUUUGUCCUUAUGCUUCAUGAUAUACUGUGAUUGAACAAUAUACACUACAACAACCUAAAAAAACAUGAGUGAGAAAGGCAAAGGCGUAGAGAGAGAAAAGUUGAAAGGCCAAUUCUUCUCCGGUGAGGAAUGGACAGCUUUGGUCGAUAAUCUGAGAAGAGAAUUUCACGAGGGGCGCUAAGGGAACUGUUCCUUUUUCAGGGACCUUUCAGGGUCCUGUAGUGAGAGUCUUCAUCCCAAGAGAAACGAAGAAUCCUAGAUACAAAUCAUCCACUUUUGCCUUUGUGCAAUUCGACAAUGAGGCAGGUUUGAGGAAAGCUAUCGAGAAUGUGAAUGGAUCGCUCAUUGAUGGGAGGAAAGUUUCAGUAGGAGUUGCAAAAUAUCGAAAUGAAAGAUUAAGGAUAGUGAGGACAAAACGAAGUAUGAAUGUUGCUUGGUUGGAGUUAGAAGAAAGAUCUAAGUUAAAAGAGAAAGUUGAGUUGUCGAAGAGUAUUAGGGAUGACAGGUCCUACAAAGAUGUUCUGCUGACAGACAGAACGCAGAGGAAUGAUUUGGAGUACAAGGAGAAAAGGAAUGACAGUAUAAACAAGGUUACAGGGAUAAGGAAUGUAUGGGAGAUGCAUAUCCCUUCUGAAAAUUCAAGCUGGGUGAAAAAAGAUCAUUAACGGGGAUUGUCAAACAUUCUUUCGAGCUGGAGUUGGUGUAGAAGUCUCUGUCCAAUGAGGGUUAUGAAGUUCAUAUUGCAAGUUCUAUGUCUGGAAUUCUUGCAUUGUUACUUUUAAAACGAUCGAAGAGAUGUUGGAGGCAUGGUUGAAGAAGAAAGAGGAGUUAUGGUUCUGGUUUGAUCGGCUGACAUCUUUGCUGAAUGAAGACGGAGUUCCUAUGGCUUACUACCAGGUAGAGCUUUAUGGUGUCCCUCUUUUAUGCUGGGAUGAUUCCUUUCUGGUAAGACUAACUGGGAGAUGGUGGACUGCAUUGAGGAAUCGACUCGAAAAAGGAAGGACUGUCGAAGGAGAGCAUUCUGAUCAGGGUGGCAAGUCCGUUCGACGUUCCGGAGGUGAUCAGUUUAGGGUCGUAUUGCAUGUCAUUCAAGGUACGUACAAAACUGGGGUCGGUGUCGGAUUUUUCGAGUUUUUUUCAAAGUCAAUCGACGGAGAAAGUUUCCGAUGAGAGAGUCAUUGAGUAAGCUUCGUCGGAAGAGGAUGUUGUCAGUCGAAAGUCAGUUGAUGUUGUCAGUGCUGGAAAGUCAAUUGAGAGUAGAGGGCAUAAGGUUGUCAUGUGGAUUGAGCAGGGGGUUCGGUCGUUUCAAUAGAGUUUACAUCGAGAAAAAUUUGGCAUCACAAGGAGC